rnacentral:rRNA from 1 species
AAUAGAUACCCCGGUAGUCCACGCUGUAAACGAUGAGAACUAGAUGUUGGUAGGCAUGACCUAUUAGUAUCGAAGCUAACGCGAUAAGUUCUCCGCCUGGGGAGUACGGCCGCAAGGUUAAAACUCAAAGGAAUUGACGGGGGCCCGCACAAGCGGUGGAGCAUGUGGUUUAAUUCGAUGCAACGCGAAGAACCUUACCUACCCUUGACAUCCAAAGAAUUUUGCAGAGAUGUGAAAGUGCCGAAAGGAACUUUGAGACAGGUGCUGCAUGGCUGUCGUCAGCUCGUGUUGUGAGAUGUUGGGUUAAGUCCCGUAACGAGCGCAACCCUUAUCUUUAGUUGCCAUCAGGUAAUGCUGGGGACUCUAAAGAGACUGCUGGUGAUGAACCGGAGGAAGGCGGGGUACGACGUCAAGUCAUCAUGGCCUUUAUGGGUAGGGCUACACACGUGCUACAAUGGUCGGUACAGAGGGCAGCCAACCCGGCGAGGGGGGAGCUAAUCCCAGAAAGCCGAUCGUAGUCCGGAUUGGAGUCUGC